rnacentral:rRNA from 1 species
UUGUGAAGUCGGUUUUGUGCCGACAUUGCGAUUAAAUUGUAGUACUCGCACAGAAGUAGCAAGGUUUAAGGAAACUUGAAUCUGCAACGUCAAGCGAGUUUUAGCAGUGAUUAAACUGAAGAGUUUGAUCCUGGCUCAGAUUGAACGCUGGCGGCAUGCCUUACACAUGCAAGUCGAACGGCAGCAUGGGUGCUUGCACCUGAUGGCGAGUGGCGAACGGGUGAGUAAUGCAUCGGAACGUACCCGGAAGUGGGGGAUAACGUAGCGAAAGUUACGCUAAUACCGCAUAUUCUGUGAGCAGGAAAGCGGGGGAUCGCAAGACCUCGCGCUUCCGGAGCGGCCGAUGUCGGAUUAGCUAGUUGGCGGGGUAAAGGCCCACCAAGGCAACGAUCCGUAGCGGGUCUGAGAGGAUGAUCCGCCACACUGGGACUGAGACACGGCCCAGACUCCUACGGGAGGCAGCA